rnacentral:tRNA from 1 species
GGGGCUGUAGUAUAACCUGGCUAGAAUAACUGGCUCCAGACCAGUGGAUCUGGGUUCAAAUCCCAGCAGCCCCA